GCAAACAGGUCAUAAGAAGCGCGAAUAAUGCGUUUUUCUGCCCGGGCUCAAGCUCCGCUCGGUCCCGGCCCCGCCCGCCGCACUGUGAGAAAAAACAACGGAAAAUCAACGGACAACAGCGGCAAUUAUUUUCCGCUUACAUCCGUACUGGGUACGGUUAAAGAACGGAGGGGUUUCUUCUACGGUUGAGGGAGAAGAAAGGUUAAGGACCUCCAACCUAUCUCGCACCUUGCAGGAUCAUCCAGAGGUUAAAGGCAGCAGCAGCUCCAACAGACAACUAGGUGUUGGUGCCAUCUAGAUUCCAGUUCAAAAAUCUGUCGGGGCAUCCAUAGGGGCCGCUCCAAAGAGCCACAUAUUUAUCAAUUCCGGACCAGACAUCCAGCCACCAACGCCAAUAUCAACACUAUCAACAGCUUGAUGAAUCAGAUACCUGAAGAUUGAACAUAAUCCCUAAACCGACGAAUGACUGUAAUCUUAAACACUGAGUGGUUUCCAAGAGAUGAAAGGUCCGAACCAAUCAUAUCCACUGAUUGGUUUUAAAUUGUUUAUCAUUAAUAUUAUGUCAACAAAAUCUAAAGUGCUCUCUACCUAACUUUUUUCUAAAUUUAAUGUUACAAUGCAAGAACCUUUGCAAAAAUUAAGUUGCUGUACAAUUAUUUCAACCAUUUUCAAUUGUACUAUAGGUAGUUAAAAUUGUCAGAAAGCCUCUUACAUUUGUAAAGUUUUUUAAAUGGUCUUUUCUGUGUGAAACAAGCAUAUAAUCUUUUAUUAUGACAGAUCAUAUGUCUCCAGUACUCAUUAGGUAUCUAAAAUGAAGUUUGUAUAAUUUAUUUUCAGACCAAAAGGCUAGUAAUGAUUUUGAUUUACUUGUGUCUCUUCAGUGCUUGUUUUGUGGGUUUUAAGUGUGUUUACUGUGAUAGAAUAGUCAUGUUAUGUCAAUGAUAGGGUUAAAUAGAACUAUCUAGGUCUACUUUGUAUUCAGAUUCUUUGUUUUUAACUUGAAAAUUGCACUUUGUAAGUUAACUCUGAACGCGUGAAGAUCUGUUUGGAAGAUCUGGACUUUUCAUAUCUAUCUAUUAUUUCUGUUGUUGGUACUAGCUUGAGGAAUGCCAUGUCUGUCUCCCCUGAUCUGCUGUGAUGACAGGUCACACUGUAUUUUGUAAAAAAUACAUGCAUGUAGGCAAGAACUCCAUCAUAGCUCGCUUUAAGUAAUUCUGUGUACGCAAAUGAGAAAACUAUUGAUUUCUCAAUGGGAUGCUCCAAUGGAACAACCUAUACAAAAAUGUAGUUGCUGUUGAAGGGUUUUGGUCUUUUUUCUUAUGUUUUAAAAUAAUUUUGAGUCAGAAUACCCUUUCUCUUAGUAUAUUUUUCUUUAAGUUCUGUUCUGUGUUAGACAUGCACAUAGUCUUUUAUUAUGACACAUCAUAUGUCUCCAGUACUCAUUAGGUAUCUAAAAUUAAGUUUGUAUAAUUUAUUUUCAGACCGAAAGGCUAGUAAUGAUUUUGAUUUACUUGUGUCUCUUCAGUGCUUGUUUUGUGGGUUUUAAGUGUGUUUA